rnacentral:lncRNA from 1 species
CAAGUUAAUUAAUCUCUCUGACCCUCAGUUUCUUCCACUGUAAAAUGGGAAUAACAGUAACACCUAUUUUACAAGACUGAUCUGAAGAUUAAACGAAAUAAUAGAGAUAAAGUAAGACCCCAGAAGUGGGCUCAGAGCUACCUAGAGAAGCUUCCGUGGUCACAGGGCCUCCACCUCAGGGCCAGGAGACCUGGAGUGGCCCUACCC